rnacentral:rRNA from 1 species
UACAGAGGUCUCAAGCGUUGUUCGGAUUCAUUGGGCGUAAAGGGUGCGUAGGUGGCAUGGUAAGUCGGAUGUGAAAUCCCGGGGCUCAACCCCGGAACUGCAUUCGAUACUGCUGCGCUAGAGUACUGGAGAGGAGAUCGGAAUUUACGGUGUAGCAGUGAAAUGCGUAGAUAUCGUAAGGAAGACCAGUGGCGAAGGCGGAUCUCUGGACAGUUACUGACACUGAGGCACGAAGGCCAGGGGAGCAAACGGG